rnacentral:lncRNA from 1 species
AUGCUAUCCAACUGACCUUAUGGUUCUAGAUUUGACUGUGUGAUGUCAUUCUAGGGCGGAUUGGCUAGCUACUCAUAGUACUACCUGUGUCUGCAGAGACAAGGUAGGAGAGUUUAGAGCUUAGGAUGGAUCAGAGGUAGUCCUUGGAAAGGACAGACUAGGGGUGCCUAGAGGUUUGAUGUCAGCCCGUCAGGCUCAUAGUUUACUC